rnacentral:rRNA from 1 species
CUGUACCUACGGGAGGCAGCAGUGAGGAAUAUUGGUCAAUGGGCUUACGCCUGAACCAGCCAAGUCGCGUGAGGGAAGACUGCCCUAUGGGUUGUAAACCUCUUUUGUCAGGAAGCAACGCCGGCUACGUGUAGCCGGACUGAGAGUACCUGAAGAAAAAGCAUCGGCCAACUCCGUGCCAGCAGCCGCGGUAAUACGGAGGAUGCGAGCUUUAUCCGGAUUUAUUGGGUUUAAAGGGUGCGUAGGCGGACUGCCAAGUCAGCGGUAAACUCGCGGGGCUCAACCUCGCUC